GACAUGAACAGGACUGAUCUAGUUGAGAGGCUGAUGGGGACAGACUCAGGACUUCAAGAGAAACAUCAGCCUGAACUGCCUCAUCAAAAAUCCACAGUAACAUCACUUCAUUGGACACUUUGGGAAACACUGAGAGGCUUACGAUAUGACGAGCAAGAGCUAUUCAAGCAACACCUGCUGCAUAUCGCCCAAGAAAAAGGCC